UACGUAGGGUGCGAGCGUUGUCCGGAAUUAUUGGGCGUAAAGGGCUCGUAGGCGGUCUGUUGCGUCAGGAGUGAAAACUCGGGGCUUAACCCCGAGCCUGCUUCUGAUACGGGCAGACUAGAGGUAUGCAGGGGAGAACGGAAUUCCUGGUGUAGCGGUGAAAUGCGCAGAUAUCUGGAGGAACACCGGUGGCGAAGGCGGCAUCCUGGACCGACACUGACGCUGAGGAGCGAAAGCCAGGGGAGCAAACGGG
rnacentral:rRNA from 1 species